GGGAUUUUUUUUUUUUUACCAAAAAUUAAAGCGCCAAAUCAUAUUCUAAAAAAUUAAAACAGGCUCCUUUUCUGAAAGUUAGUCUAAUCCCAAAUUAAACCCUAGAGCAAAUACUAAUCACUCCCAUUUUUCCAAUUUCCACUGAUCUGCUCUCCGUGAGUCUAAUCCCAAAUUAAACCCUAGAGCAAAUACUAAUCACUCCCAUUUUUCCAAUUUCCACUGAUCUGCUCUCCGUGAUCUCAACGAGAGUGAAUUUUUGUCGUAGCUCUACCCUAAAUCGAGGAAUUCCAAGCUGUAACCUAUAUCAAGGAAUUCCAGGUAGUACUUGCAGUGUGGAGAAUCAUUUUGAACAUGGUAGAAGUUAUUGUUAUUAAAAAGGUAUUCGUUGGUUCUGUCCUAAAGGAAACUCUUUUUUUUUAAUCUGUACUCUUUUCGUCCAUGCCCGUUGUCACAUCUCUGAUUGUGUUAACUUCCUCACCAUGUGGAUAUUCCUUGAGAACUGUUUAUUUAAUUCCUAUGUAAUUCUAUCAUUGUAGACUUGUAAUGCUCUACUGGUAUAUAUUGAUAAAAAUUUUAUGGGUUAUGAAUUAUAAGAUUGCUUCUUCUAUCUUUCUGCCCAAAAUAUACAUUUUCUACACCUACAUCUUUUGGUUGGAUCAAUUAUUUAAGUGAUUGCACAUAUUAUUCAAGGUCCAAUAGUAGAGAUAAGUUUCAUCUUCUUUGAAAACAUUUAUGUUAGUAUAGAAGUGAAAGUUAUGGUUAUUAGUUAGUACAAGAAUAAAAUUUACAUGGCAAAAGAGAGGACUAUUUUGGAGGAAGACAAUUCUAUCUAUUUGUAGUGGAUCGACUAAUAUCACCCUUUAUUCCAUUCAAGAGACCCAAAAGUCAGCUGGACUUUUUAUAUUACCAACCCCCGAAAGUUGUUAGCUAGACUACUUUUUUAGGGUUAACUUCAUCAACUAUAAAUUCUUGAUAACUAGCAGGUGAGUUUAUUUUAGUUGUCUCUCUGGGUUAGAGGUAAGGUCUGCAUAUAAUUUACCCUCCCUAGACCCCACUUUGUGGGACUACACUGGGUAUGUUAUUAUUGUUGUUGUUCUCGUCACGUGAUCUGAUAUUUUUUCACUUAAACAUUUCUCACCACGUCAUAGAAGAAGAAUUUCUUUUAUCUAACAGAAUAGAGAAAGGUAUUAUACUAAGUUGUGAAAUGUUCAGCGACUACAUUUAUUUGCAGAUCCAUUAUGGGAGUCAAUAAAUUUGUCUUAAAGUCGUUCUUGUGCUGAACACUGUAUCUUCAUAGCUCCCUUUAUCCUGUUUUAGAGAUUUCUUGUUAGUUUAGUAUUUUUCAUUGAGUUUUUUGAAGCUGGAAGGAGCAAUCAUUAGCUGAACAGCCCCCGACCUUUCUAGUCGAGGUUUGAUGAUUUGAUCACUUUGUAUUACUAAUUUUAAUCUUAAGUGUGAGGUUGAUAUCAACCUAUGCUGCUAUUGCUAAUAUAUGUACUUUUGUUCCAUGUUGUGUUCUUGUAUAAAACAAUUUGUAUGCUAUCCAUAGACAUGCAUUAUAAUAUUGAUUCUAGGAGUUAUGUGGUCUCAAAGCAUCUAGAACAUGUACGAACCUUUCUUCCUUAGUACCUCAUCCCCCUAGUUGGCAAAUUUUGUUACCUAGUUCAUGAACAGGGUUACUGGUUGAGAGCUGAGUCUUGUCCUUUAAGCUGUGGCAUAAGUUAUGUUUCUUUUAAGGUUUUCCAUAAUUUACCAAAGAAGUACACAAUUUUUACUAGAAGCUUUCAUGUACUCUUUUCUCACUGUCUGCUACUGGGUUGGUUUGCUAGUUUAUCUUCAGUUUCUAGAGCAGCUACUGAGUUGCAGCAGUAUUUUGGUUUUAUGUUCCAUGGAUGGAAUGGGAGAUUAUCAUUGCAAUAGCUAGAUGUCUAUUCUCUUGGUGUUGGUAUUUGAAAGAGGACAUGAUUUGCGUGGUUUUUGACUGUUUUUGUUUUGUUACAGAUGCAGAAACCUUUUAUGAGUAUAUACUAACAUCUUUGUAGCGUUCAUAUGGUGAAUGUUUUCAAUCUUUGACAUCUAUACCUUUGUUGGCAUUUUUUUUCCCUUUAAGUUGAUGUCAUGUUUUAAUUUGAUGCUUACUUGUGGCUAGCGUUAUUAGUAUAUUUUGCACACGGUACAAGUUUAUAUUGCAUUUAUGUAUUGUGUUUGUUAUAUGGUGAUUCAUUCUAAGCAGGGCGUCUAUCGGGAACAACCUCUCUACUUCAUAUGAGGUAGUGGUAUGGACUGCGUAUGCUCUACCCUUCCCAAACCCCACUAGGUGGGAAUACACUGGAGAGUUUGAAAAUAUGGAUAUUGCUCAAGACUUGUCAGAUGCUGAAUGGGAUCGAGAAUUUAUUAAAUGGUUUAAAAAUAGGGUCGUACAAUUGCAAAAAGCAGAUAAUAGUCGGCUCAUGGAAGAUCUUCUCUCACUUUCACGCGGUCCUACCAAAUAUUCAACACAUUGUAAUGGUUACAUUGUAAAUGGAUAUAGGUUUCAUGUAGAAGAUUAUGAUCGAUCUUUAAGGACUCAAAAUUGUGGUGUUGUUGUAUCUAGCAAGAAUGAUGAAGAUAAUGAGAUGUUUGAUUACUAUGGAGUUUUAACAGAUGUGAUUGAAUUACAAUUUGUCUCGGAUAGAAGAGUAAUUUUGUUUUGGUGUAAUUGGUUUGAUGUGCAUGAUAAAAUAAAAGGAAUAAAAAGAGAUGAGUAUGACUAUGUAAGUGUGAAUCCAAGUAGAUUUUUGAAAAUAAAUGAGCCUUUUGUUUUAGUGGAUCAAGCAUCUCAAGUGUUUUAUGCUAAUGAUAAUUCCAACAAAGGCUGGGAUAUAGUGAGGAAGACUCAACCUCGUGAUUCCUAUGAGGUUGUGAAACAAAUGGAUGAUGAUGUAGAUGACUUAGAAAGUCCUUCAGAUGUUGUAGAUGAUUUAGAAAGUCCAUCACAAAAGAAACGUAAAAGAACUGAUGAGGUUCACUAUGAAGACUGAAAAAGAGGAUGGAUCAACUAUUAAGAGUACUAUGAGAUAAACUUUCUGCGCUCCUGGUGCAAUUGGAAAGGGAUGGGGACGAGGGCUUAGAUCUUUGAUAACAAAAGGAAAAACUCUAACUAAGAGUUCGUUAAGUUCAGUUUAUCAACCUAAUGAUCUAGUUAAGCAAUACAUCCAAGAAGCUGAAACAAUUGGUAUUGGAAAGGGACAACCAAAAGGACUUACAAACUCUACCAAGUGUUCUAGUUAAGUAAUGGGAACGGCGGUGCAUGAGAACUUCGUGGUUUGGGAGAGAGAGUGUGUGCCAGUUGUUACUUCAUUACCUCUGUCUCCUAGUGAGGUCACGUCGUACGUACAAGCAGUUAAAACAAGUUCUUUUGGAAAAGAGAGAGGAAAAGAACUUACAGGAUCUACUAUGUGUUCUGGUCAAGUAAUGGGAACAACGAUGCGUAAGAACUCCAUGGUUCAUGGGAACGAGUAUAUGCAAGUUGAUACUCCAUUUUCUCCAUCAACUAAUCAAGUUAAGCAACGAACCAAAGAGGCUGAAACAAGGGUUUUUAAGGAUAGUGUGGGAUCUAAUCAAGGAAUGCGAUCAAUGGGUUAUAAUCUUCUGAUUCUUGGGAAAGAGAACAUGCAAACCAAUAUUUCAUUGCCUCCGUCUACUGAUAAAGUUAUGAAACCCUCCCAAACUGUUGAAAUAGGUAUGGUAUUUAGACUUUAUGUAUUAUUAAAUUUAUGGAAUUGAAUUUUAUUAUUAUAGUUCUUACCAAAUUAUACAGUUGUAGUUGUAGGAUCAUCUGUAUACACCAAUUGGGAACCCUUCAGACCUAUAACUUACUCGAUAUCACUGAAAAGUGGCUCGUCUGUAAAUUACUUAAGCUACUUCACUGUAUCAUCUGUAUACACCAAACGGGAAGCCUUCAGACCUAUAACUUACUCGAUAUCACUGAUGGUGUUGGCUUACCUGGUGUCACUACUGGUGUUAACUUUCCCCAGCUGGUACCUUUUGUUUUGCUCAUUUCAAUGCUAGUAACUAACCCUAUAUCACUACUAAUGUUACCUCUGUCUCCUAGUGAGGUCACGUCGUACGUACAAGGAGCUGAAACAAGUAAGUCUCUCAAACCAAGUGUCUACUGAGGACUCUCUACCUGUGAAAGACAUAAAAGCUGCUGCAAAAUGCCUGCCGUGUUCUGUGAAGGCUGCGGCUGCUACUCCCUGGCACAACCUAACUUUCCCCACCUGGUACCUUUUGUUUUGCCCAUUUCAAUGCAACUAACUUACCUAAUACCACUACUAAUGUUACGUCUGUCUCCUAGUGAGAUCACGCCGUACGUACAAGGAGUUAAGUAAGUCUCUCAAACCAAGUGUCUACUGAGGACUCUCUACCUGUGAAAGACGUAACAGCUGCUGUAAAACGCCUGCCGUGUUCUGUGAAGGCUGUGGCUGCUACUCUUGUCACUCCCUGUUUGACUAGUUGUGAUAGUUAUGUUACCUAUGGCUGCAUCAUAAACCUGAAAAGUCACUUGUCUGUAAAUUACUUAAGCUACUUCACUGUAUCAUCUGUAUGCACCAAUUGGGAAGCCUCCAGACCUAUAACUUACUCGAUAUCACUGAAAAGUGGCUCGUCUGUAAAUUACUUAAGCUACUUCACUAUAUCAUCUGUAUACACCAAGUGGGAAGCCGUCAGACCUAUAACUUACUCGAUAUCACUACUGGUGUUGACUUACCUGGUGUCACUGCUGAUGUUAACUUUCCCCAGCUGGUACCUUUGGUUUUGCCCAUUUCAAUGCAAGUAACUAACCCUAUAUCACUACUAAUGUUACCUCUGUCUCCUAGUGAGGUCACUUCAUACGUACAAGGAGUUGAAAUAAGUUAGUCUCUUAAACCAAGUGUCUACUGAGGAUUCUCUACCUGUGAAAGACAUAACUGCUGCUGUAAAAUGCCUGCCGUAUUCUGUGAAGGCUGCGGCUGCUACUCCCUGGCACAACCUAACGUUCCUCACCUGGUACCUUUUGUUUUGCCCAUUUCAAUGCAACUAACUUACCUAAUACCACUACUAAUGUUACGUCUAUCUCCUAGUGAGAUCACGCCGUACGUACAAGGAGUUAAGUAAGUCUCUCAAACCAAGUGUCUACCGAGGACUCUCUACCUGUGAAAGACGUAACAGCUGCUGUAAAACGCCUACUGUGUUCUGUGAAGGCUGGGGCUGCUACUCUUAUCACUCCCUGUUUGACUAGUUGUAAUAGCUAUGUUACCUAUGGCUGCAUCAUAAACCUGAAAAGUGGCUUGUUUGUAAAUUACUUAAGCUACUUCACUGUAUCAUCUGUAUGCACCAAUUGGGAAGCCUCCAGACCUAUAACUUACCUGCUAUCGCUACUGGCGUUGGCUUACCUGGUGUCACUGCUGGUGUUAACUUUCCCCAGCUGAUACCUUUUGUUUUUCCCAUUUCAAUGCAAGUAACUAACCUGAUAUUACUACUAAUGUUAACUCGGACAUCUCUGAUCUCUGUACCAACCAUAUUAAUGACUUUACAUCAUACCAAUGUUUUAUUAUUGUUAGGGGUUUUUAAGAAUAGUGUGGGAUCUAAUCAAGGAAUGUGAUCAAUGGGUAAUAAUCCUCUGAUUCUUGGGAAAUAGAACAUGCAAACCAAUAUUUCAUUGCCUCCAUUUACUGAUAAAGUUAUGAAACCGUACCAAACUGUUGAAAUAGGUAUGGUCUUUAGACUUUAUGUAUUAUUAAAUUUAUAGAAUUGAAUUUUAUUAUUAUAGUUCUUACCAAAUUAUGCAGCUGUAGGAUCAUCUAAUCCUAAAAAGGUAAAAAGAGUUCGAGGGAGCAACAAGUGCAAGGAAGUUUCAUCACUUGAAGUCGGUCAGAAACUGAAAGUAACCUUUUACAAUAAUAGAACGGUUGGAAAAAAUAGCAAUCUGUUUUCAAGACACUUGGGAAAAAUAAUUCUUGACAGUAACAUAUGUCCAUUGGCUGUAAAUAAAAUUUGGAUCACAUGUGGGCAGCUUUUAAGGUAACAAAUAUAGUCGAUAAUAUGAAUGGGCAUUUGGACCUUUUUUUGGUUCGUUCUAUCUGAUGUUGUGUAUUGAUUAUUGUAUGAUAAAUUUGAGAGUGACGAUAUGAAUGAUCAUCGUGAUCAUAUCUUUGCAUGGAUGAAUGAGUUGUGGAACAACUGGAGAGGACACUUGCAUAGUAAGUAUGUGAAAAAUAAGUCAACGGUACAUGCCCUUAAAAGUAAACCAGAGAGAGUAGAGAAGAAGGACUGGGAGUGGUUAGUUAAGGAACAUUUUUGUUCCGAAAGUUUUCAGGUAUUUCAUUUCGUAGCACUAUAUUACUUUCUUUAUAAUUGUGUAUGGAUUAGCUUCUUUUUUCUAAAAAAUUGAAUGGUUCUAUUUAUGUUGCUCUGUAUUACCUGCUAGUUUUUCCCUAUAAACUUUAUUUGUUGAUGCAAUUUCAGAAUUUGCAUUUGAAUAGAUGCUAAGCUUAUUAUUUAAGAAUAAUACAGGCAAGAAGCAAAAGGAAUACAGCAAACCGAGCUAAUUUGACAAUGCUUCAUCAUAUUGGUAGCAAGCCUAUUCGAGAGAUAAUAUAUCAGCAGGCUCAGAUCGAAGAAAUUGUGAAAGCAGAGCCAUCUCUACCUACCAUAGAAAUUGUAGAAAAAUAUUGGGGACCUCAAAAUCGUAGUCAUGUAGUUUGCUUUGGCGGUGGAGUAAAGGCAAAAGAUAUGAAAGGGGGCACUUCUUCAAAGACUGAAUUACUGUCCGCUCUACGUUCAACUCAAGAGGACAAUAAAUCCUUGAUUGAGGAAAAUAAAUCACUGAAUGAUUGUUUGUCAACCUUAGAAGAUGAGAUGGAAAAAAUAAGAAAAAUGCAAGAAUUUUUUGCUGCUCAACAAUCUCAUAUCCCUCGUACAACCUCGCCUAUUUCAACUGAAUGACACUGGCUUAUUUUGCUAUCCAAAUUUUUGAAGAUUGAAGUGACAAGAGAAGAUGCAAGUUUAGAAGAUGCACAAGCUUAUUAUUAUUAUUUUGCUAAGAGCGUUAUGUAAAGCUUGACAUCAUAUUCUAGCUCAGGAUGUUAAUUUGAUAAGUUUUUUUGUUUAAAAAAUAUUGAAACUAUUGACAAUAUUCUAGCUCGGGAUGUUAAUUGGUUAAGUUUUUAUUGUUUAGCAAAUAUUGAAAUUAUAUUUA